rnacentral:lncRNA from 1 species
UUUUUUUUUUUUUUUUUUUUUUUUCCUUUUGAGAGAGGAGCUGAGCUGUUGGUGCAGGGAGAUAUACCUUUUCUGGUUUAUUUUCCUUUUACGUUAAACAAAAAGGAAAAGAAAGAAAAUGGCUACCACCUCUUCCUGAGCACUGAGGAGGCCAGACCUUUGCGAACCGGGAGACGGUGCUUGAAACCCUUUUUCUUCCCUGUAUCUCUCCCGCACCCCUCACCCCCAACCUUCUACUGUCAGCUCUGCUACAGCCCAAGGAGAAAAAUGGUCAUAGGCACUUGUGUCGGUCAUUUGCCCUCAGUCUUGCUCUUUUCUUAGGACAAGUAGUUACCAGUUUUUCCCCUUCUUUUUACAAACUGGUCCUUUUCAUCUGGUUUCCAAAUCCUUUUGCUAAAAAUGGGUCCGGGACAUUUGAUUUGUCUUUUUAAACACCCAGCGUUGCAGCGGUGAACAGCAGCAGGCGUGGGGUGGGGGCAUUCUCCUUACUGGAGAUGACCUGGGGCAGACACAACCCAGUGGGUGCACACACCUCUGGCGGGGGAAGGGGUAGGCUGAUUAACAAAUUAGUUACCAAAUGUGUAUUGAUGCCUGCGAGUUUUUAAAAAGCACAUCCAGAAUUUCACUUUCACGUGUGCCUGAUUGUAUUGCUCUUCUCUCUAGCCGAGCAUAUGGAUCUUACUAAUCAUUGACAUUUAAAAUGUGGUAUUCCAAAGACUUGGGAGACAGCUUUGGAUUCUCACUUUGUUUGCAUGAUAAAACCUGAGUGUCUUUCAAGAGGGUAGGAAACCUUUCGCAUUGGUGAAUCUGGCAUUGACAUAUUUAUCCCAGACUUUUACUUCUCCCCAAGCUGCCUACCAAGCUAUGGUGGUAUUUGCCAAAUUGGGAAGAUAAUUGCAGUAUCGAUGUGUGAGUAAUGACACAGUGUUGCAUAAUAAUAAUUUAAGCAACUGUGUUUUUGUUUACGGUGAUGUAACUUUCCCAGAGUUUGUUUGUAGCUUUAAAGGGUUUAAGUGCGAGCAGAUUGCUCUUGAGCAGCUGCCCUGAAGAAAGUGAGCUUGAUUCAGCUCUCCGGUUUAGGGAUCUGCAGUCCCCAUCUUUAUCUGCAGUCCCAACCUGGAGGUCCCAGGAGCUGAGUGGAAGGAGCUGAUGACUUGGCUUUACCUGAUAAAGCCUGCCUGAAUUGUUCAUGACAUGGAAGAAUACUCCUGUUCAAGGCAAAUUAAAAAGCCAGAGGCAGCAGUACUGUGAAAAGCCAGCUCAGUUAAAUGGGCAGCAUAUAACAUAGCUGAAAUACAGCUCUUUAAUGAGUGUGUCUCAAGUGGUAAAAAUGAGUGCAAAUGAAUUCAAAACCAACCACCCCAUUUGCUCCAACAUUUCAAACAUACUGAGACUGUCAUGUGUUCAGGCUGCUGUUUCAUAGCCCAUGAUGUGUAGACAGUGUACAUUUUCCAUGUUAUAAUGACUUGGAGAUAGACAAGUAUUUUAAUUCGGUCGUUAGAGUAGAGACAAGUGAAAAUCAGUUAUACAUCUAGGUCCACAGCAAGGCGGCCUACAAACUCAUAGGAAACCCACACUUUUCCAGGCACCAAUAUGUCCACUGUCCUUUUUCUUAAAGACCCAGAUUCCAGGGCCGCAGACUUGGGCAUGAAUCUGAUUUAUAACUAUAAAAGUGACACACCAAGAUCUAUUAAUUUACACUCAGACAUAAGAAAAGUAACAAAUGAAGAAGUCUUUGUUGGCCGUAAGGCAUGCCUGUAAACUUGGGAAACGCUUCCCUAUAGUUGAUCUGAAUUAAUACUUUUUUGUGAUAUCAAUGAGUUGCCAUUAUAGAGAUCAUAUUCAGGCAGGUGAUUUAGCUUUUUAAAAUGUUUGUGGUAUCAAAGUUGUGUGUUUCGUUUUUUAAAGGGGAAAACCCACAAACUGAGCUUUCUUAUUAUAGGAAGAGUUUAGUAAAAUUCUUAAUAUGUUGCUGCUUUAGAACUAAAGCGAACAGGCAUUUCAUUUGAUGAUAUUAAUAAAUAUGUGAACACCAUAAACAUUAAUUAUGGUGUUUUCUUAGUUAACUGGUCAUGUUUUUAUUUUCAAAGGAACAAAGUCUGGGAGUGAAAAACUUUAGCUUUUCUUAUAUUGGGAUUGUGGGAUUGCUCUACCACUGAAGUGUUUUUCAACUUUCAAUUUAGGAUUGUUGUGUCAAACUGUCAUAUCCCCAGUUGUGAAAACAGAAAAUUUCUGUUUGUUUGUUUGGCUUCAAAGUUAAUUCAAUCAUUUUAUCUAAAGUCCAUGGAAGCCUAUUACUAUUGUACCUAGCGUAGUCAUUAAGACAAAUAGUAAUGUUAUAUAAUACAUUUUUUAGAAAAAAUAAAGCAAUUUUUGAGACAACUUUGAAUUGAGACAACUCUCGUGAUCAAGUAACAUCAUCAAAACAACACAGGCACUGGUAAAAUUAUGUUUUGGAGUUAUUAUUUACAUUUAAAUCUACAAAACAAAAAGAACUAGAAAGAUGAGUUUUAUAAGACUUUCCAAUCAACAUUUAGUUUGGGAAUUAACAGGUAUCUGUAUCACUGUUAUUAGCCACUGAGAAAACCUCUCUUGAUCAUGCUAACCCCCCCUCCCUAGAAAAUUCAAAUAUGUUUUAAAUAGCACCUGACAUUGACAUUGCAGAGUCUUUCAGUUAUCAGUAAUAUAAAAUCGAGGUGUAUUCUCAAAUUUUGACUUUGAGAAACUAAAUUGAACAUGAAUCACUGUAUUUUUUAACAUAUUUUGAAGCAAGUAUCACCCAUAUUAUCUGUUUAGGCUUUACUCAAAUAUUACACUGCCCACAUAAGGACAUAAGAUUUAUUGCAAUCUGAUGUUCAAAUACAGAUUUUCAAAAGUUAGUCCUCCUAACACAAGGCAUUGGAUUCAGAGGAAGAGCAGUGAGGUAGGAUGUGCCUAUUUAUUUGGUACAAUGUCAUGUGUCAUAUGUUUGCACCGAUCUGGAGAAGGUAUUCUGCCCUGGUGUUCUGGCAAAUAAGGUAACCUAGGCUGGCCUAGAGUCACGUGCCUCUUUGUAAGAGCGGAUCACCAUGUACUUGUCGAGUAUCCCCGAAGAUAAUGUAGGGCCAGGCUACAGCAGCAGCCAGUAAAUGUUUUCCAGACUUAAAUUUAUUUGAUAGUUCAAUUUUUUCUUAAUUUUUGACAGUGAAUAUAAAUUUUGGAAGUGAAUAGGGCUAGUAGAAAUACUUUGGCAGAAAACCAGUUGGGAAAAUUUUGUUUCUAUCUUCUAUCUCAUGACAAAUUAAAAUACAUUUGAUUUAUUGUCAACUUUAUAGCUCUUGGGAGGACCAGCAAACUAAUAGAAUAAUGUUAAAACCAGAAACACUUACCAUUCUCUGGCUUCUUUCUGAAAGAAGCAAUUCUUUUUUCAAUAUACCAAAAACUUACCACAUACCAUACAAACUUCAAUUUUUCGGCUCUCAGCCUGGCCCUGCUUACAACAAGCUGGCCAUUUCAAGAACCCUCACCCGGCUAAAGCACUCUUUCUAAUUGGUUCUCCUUGCUCUCAUUUUGGUUUUCUUUCCUUUGUAAACACAAAGUAAAAACUAUGCCAAACUGCCAAACUUUAUUGAAGGCAAAUGCCAUUCUUUCCAGCAUUAUUUUACUAAACAAGGUAUGAGCGAUUGAAUGACUCUUAAUAUCUGCAGUAAACCAAGGCACUAAUCUUGCAUACUAAAACUUAGAGUAUUUUUCCAAACAACUCAUUUCUACACUUGCGUGCUCUAAGAUAGAAACCAACUUCUCUUCUUCACACAUUACAAAUAAUGGCCUUCAGGGACCACUCAUUGUUUCCGUAGGUACACAGUUUGCUUGUGCAGCCCAACUCAUAAUGUUCAUAGUAAAGAAGAUAAGAAGAAUAUAAAACAGGAAAAUAGCAUCACUGUAUUUUUAUCAUUUUAUAGUACUACAUUAUUUAUAUAAAGAAUAUUGUAUAAAGCCAGAACUAGACUAUUUGCAUCCCAAUUAAGGAAAAACUCUGCUUGCUUAAAUAUGAGUUUUCUCAUAAUAUAUAAGGUAUUUUAUUUUAUACCUUAUUUACUGGCCAUUGUGAAUAGGUAUUAUAUUAAUAUGAGAUAUUUAAUUUUUUAACAUUGCAGAUAAAGUGAUAAUAAUCUCCUAUCAGAACUUCUUUUAAAAUUGCUUAAUGUCAUAGUCUUAAAGUGUUAAUUGGCAAACUAAUGGCAUGAAGACAUUAAUACAUUCCUAACUAGGGUGAGUAGUUCAGCGAAAAUGGUAGCCAAAUAUUUUUCAGUGCAAAGAGAAAUAUAGUACAGUAUGAUUUACCAAGAUGAAAUGAAGUAAGUUUGACCUAAAUGUCUUUUGGUUCCAGGUUAGGCUCUGGGACAUCUUGACUAAUUUUCCCACUUGCAAAACAAAAGGAAAAAAAAAGAGACAAUGGAGCAGAGAAAGAACAGAUCAUUUGUUUUGAAUCCCUGCAAUCUGUUCUCCACAUUGUUCUCAAAGUGAUUUUUCUAAACAAAAAUUGAUCUUGUUACCACCUUCUUUAAGCCUUUCAAUGGCCCCUGUUUUUUUUUUUAAUUUAUUUUUUUUUUUAGGGAUCGAAUCCGAGCUGCAGCUGUGACCCGUGCCACAGCUGCGGCAGUGCUGGAUCAAUGGCUCCCCAUUAACCACAGGAUAAAGUGUAAAAUUUUAAAAGUUGGCCACUAGCCCCAGAAUGUUCUGAUCCAUAUUCGGCCUCUUCUUGGUACCAGCUCUUUCACUAGCUUGCAGUCCAUUUUAUUUCUUCUUUCACCGUUCCCCUAUCCUUCCUCCCCCCCAGUCCCAUUCCCCCUGGUCAACUCUUAUUUAUAUUUGAGGGGAAAAAAAAAAUCCCUGGUCUCACAUUCAAAAAGCAUUUCAGGAGUUCCCAUUGUGGCUCAGCGGUCAGUGAACCCAACUAGUAUCCACGAGGAUGCAGGUUUGAUCCCUGGCCUCAAAAAAAAAAAACCCAAAACCAAAAAACAUUUCAACAAUGAAUGAAUGAACAAAUGGUUGACUUCACAGACCAAAGAAAAUAUGCUGGAGUUCCCGCUGUGCCACAGUGGGUCAGUGAUCUGGCUUGUCUCUGUGGAAGUUUUGGUUUCAAACCAGCCCAGCACAGUGGAUUGAGGAUUCAGAAUUGCUGCAGCUGUGCUAUAGGUCACAGCUCUGGCUUGGAUUUGAUCCCUGGCCCAGGAAUUUCCAUAUGCUGUGGGUGUGGCCAGAAAAGAA